GGAGGUCAGCAGGGAUCACUAUGAAGCCUUUCAAAGGUUUCGUCUAACAUGUUAGGGCCAUUAGAUUCACUCGGCAGGCAAAUAUAGAGCCCCCUUCCAUGGCACAAAACCCGCAGCCUGUACACAUGGACAGAGGCCACACUAUACCCAACGUGUCUAGCCAUUCUUACGCCAUUUAAGGUAACCUCUAACAAGCUAGAAAAAGAUCCUCAUACUGAGCUAAAACCAGAGCCAUGUAGCCCUCAUGGUUCUACGAGUUGUCCCAGCUUUUGCCAAGGGAUAAGUCCUUAUGGAGGGUCAAGAUCAAUCCAGCAAAAGCUAGAGUUCUUUCCACCCUUUAUGUUCAAGUUGCUGAAAAGCUUAUUUUAUUGUUUAUUGCAUAUUCAAUAUUCAUGUUACAAGAUCAUGGAUUAAUAAUCAAGCACUAGCAAGAACUACCCAAAUGCAUAUCCAAAUAGGUAUCAAGGAAUUCAAGAUAACAAUCAUCUAUGAUUUCACUAUGGUUGUCAUGGUGGACACAUGCAUAUGAUAUAUAUUGUAUUAAUUGUGUAUAGGUAACAAGGAUGAUCCCCAGUUAAACUUGCCUUGAUCAAAGCUCUCCUGAGUCUGCUGCUGGUCUUCAAAAGAUUGACCUUGGUCACCAACGUAUCGCUCACCGUCUAUACUCGAUCAUUAUUCAACAACACGCAAUCCAAUGUAGACAAUCAUACACGAAGCAAACAAGCUAUAAUUAGAACAAUACACCAAACAGUAGUAAAACAAAGAUAAAAGUUUAUCAAAAUGUUCUACGCAGCGCUACGAUCACACAAACGUAAAGUUCACAAAAAUCGGAAUUAAAACGUAGAAGAUAUGAAUUUUCUAAGAUUUCCUAUAGAUAAAUAAUUGAUUAAAUGCUACUGCAGAAUUAAAAAGUUUCAAAACAUAGAAAUAAUAGUUCUAACAUGUAGAGCUCGUAAAUAUGAAUCUAACCAAAUUUGAAUGGACAAAAACGGAGUUAAAACGAAGAUUUUAUGAGCAAAACCAAAUCAAUGGCAAAACUGUGAAUAACUGAAAACGUAUUUUGUUUUAAACCGACAAAAAUACACUUUCUUCUCAGCAAGGCUUGUUUUCCAGGGGCGCCAAGGACCGUGGGUUCAUUAAAGGAAAGUCCAGGGACUCUUUAUGGAAAAGUGCAGCAAACUGUUUUCUUCUAAUCUGGGGCGCGGGAUCUCGAUCAGACGGCUUGGAUCGCUGCAGGGGAAAAAACACGGUCGGUCGGCGGCGAGCUCCACGGCAUGGAUGCCACCCCGGAGCGUUUCUACAGCCGGAGAAGGCCCGAGUUGAUGAAGCUACACGCGGCGGCGGAAGGAACUCUCGCCCGAGAUCCAAACAGCGAAUAUAGGGCGUAUUUGGGCGAUUUGGAUGCGAAAAGAGAAAUACGGGGUGGGGAGAGAGCUUUAUAGGGCCUCGGGGAAACAAAUAGGCAAGAAAUCGCGAGUAUCCGGAGUUGAUUUUGCACCCGGUCGGUGUCCUGCUUGAAGACGUCGCGAGAAAGAAGGAAGGAAGGGGAGGAAUGUCGCUGACAUGCGGGGCCUGGCUGGCAGUGAGAGGAAGAGAGAAAGGAGAGGGGGGAAGGCGCGGGGCAGGCUGGGCUGAGUGCUGCUGCUGCUCUGCUGGGCUGGCCAUUGGGCCGAGGGAGAAGAGUGGGCCGCGGGGGGGGAGGAAUGGGGAGCCGGUUGGGCCAGAAUUAGAGAGGGGAAAAAGGUUUUUUUUAUUUUUUUCUAUUUCCCUUUCUUUUAUUCCAAAGCCAUUUUCAAAACCGUUUUAAAAAAAUCACUUUGAAUUAUUUUUGAACUUUAGUAAAACCAAUCAUCUCAAUAAAUCAUAUGCACGAGCAUGAAGACACAACCAUGUUACUAAUCCUAUGAUAAGUUUUAUUUUAACAAAAAGUAUUAUUUUUCUAUGUUUCAUGAGCACAAAAACACAAAAUUAAAUCAUUUUUCACCUAUUUCAAAAGUUGCAAAUUUUUGGGUGUUACAAUUCUACCUCCCUUAAGAUGAAUCUCGUCCUCGAGAUUCGGAAGAUGGUGAUCAAAGAGAUGUAGAUACUCUGCUUUUGAACCUUAUUCACUUCCUUGAGUAGCUCUUUCUUAGUAACCAUUCUAUUGCCUUUGUCACUCCGAACAUCUCCAUCAAUGGUUCCCAAGAGUUCAGCAAUGUAAUUCGUAUAGAUAAGGUUUUUCUUUUUACUCAUAGCUUAUCUGGGGUAUAUGUUCCUUACCCAUCCAUUUAAAACCUGAUGCAUUUCCAACCAUGAUAUACUCAACUUCCUCCUUAUUACUUUCAUCGUCCCAUUUCACAAUCCUUCUUCUCCUUCUUCCAAAGUGAGCCCUAAUAAUUACCAAAUUUGUAGUGUUAGUAAUAUCACUCAACCUCCGCACACAAAUCCUCAAAUCUAGGUGUUGUCCAAACUUUUCCUAGCACACUCUUUAUGCUAAGAGCUUUGGCAUCGACAUAUACUUCUCCAUAAUUCCACCACUAGAGACAACAUAUUCAAUUAGAGAACUUAGUUUGCUCAAAACUUACUAGCCAUGCAUGGUGUAAUAAUAAGGCUUCAUAACUCUUUGAAGAAUCAUCCGUAGAUGUUCGAUAUCCCUUUCCAAUAUCAUUAAUGUCAACUUGUCUUGGGUAUGUUGAAAGUUGAACCUCCAUUUGAUAAUAGCUCAAUGUGAAAACCAAUCUUGACGAAUACCUGAACUCAUUGGUGCAAAGAGUAACCAAUCUUGAGCAAAGAUAUUUGUGGUUGAUAGGGACUUGUCCACCAAAGGAAUAACAGAUCUUCCAAAUAAAAUACUUGAACACAUAAAACCUUUGUCUUGCAACUUCUAUAGCUUGGCUACCCCCCUUAAGAUGAGAUCAGCUAGGGGAUACCAAGGAUGGCUUGAACAUUCUUAUGAGUAGGUGAACUACCAUAAAAGAGCUUCUUAUAUCCAAGAGAACUCAUGUACAUAGACAAGAACAAGUAAUCAGAAAUUCCUCGCGAGAUGAAAAACAGCAACUUAGUAAACCAGCUACAACUCAUGUUCCGUCAAACUGAUAGACUUAUGGUCUAUACUGCUGGAAAGCUUAUCAAAUUCUCCACAACUUUCUUGUUGAUCACUUCCCCACUUCCCCAUAUUCGGACGUUAAAAUAAGGUUUGAUAAUCCAACAUAAAAUCUGUCCAGGAAGUCUGACAACACAGACACAGCAUCUUGAAACAGUCAUAUCAUGAGCCAUAGAAACCAUAUGAUGACGAUCCUUACAAUGUUGAAAAGCUUAUGAAAUCCUCUGAAACUUUUGUAUACAACUUUUUCCCAGAUUGUGAAGUUAAUUUGGCUGAAAUUAGGAAAUACUAGGACUGUCCAGACUUUGAAACAGAACAGAAACAUCCAAGUGUAAAUAUCAUAUAUCAGGUCCUACUUAUCCGAAUAAGUUCCAGCUUAUACUGUUGCGAAGCUUAGAAAAUUGUCUAUAACUUUUCUAUACAACACUUUUCCAAAUUCUAUAGUUAUAUUUGUCUAAAACAGUAAGCAACCGAAACUGGUCCAGAUUCUUGACAGCCCAUCUGUAUCAUCUUGUGAUUUUUUUAACUUCCAAACCAAAAUAGCUAUGAGGGUGAUUCUUGCAGUCAGGGAAAGAUCUUGAAGUCUAUUUGUUCCCAGAAAAAUUUGAUAAACUUUGCAUGAUCAUAACUUGAGAUACACCAGCAUUAUGGCAGACUGCUCCAGAAAUCAGCAAGGGAUAGAAACAAGAGAUAGCCAAACCCAACUACUUAUUUCAUUAAUCCUUAUGCCUUAGGCCUAUGAACUAAUGACAUUGUGAGGAAAUCCCACAAGAUCAUUGCACUCAUUACAAAUAUCCAAAUCAAACAUAAGCAUAAUAACAACCAAUUAAGCAUCAAAGGUUCACACUUCACUCAAUUUGCGAUACUAUCAUUCUCUUCAUAGUAAGGGUAAAGUGUUGGCAUUUCUUAACGUCAUCACUAAGAACAGGGUUUAAUCCGUCCUCAGCAACAAUGUCAGAAAUGUCAUGAUAACACUUACUAAUGCAAUCACCAAGAUUAGAGUAUAAAUCUAUCCUAAGCAACGGUGCCAGAAAUGCUUGUUAGCGUUUCUUAGCGUCGCUACCUAGAAUAGGGUUCUACUUUACUCAUGAUAAUGACAUUGGCAGUGUUAUAUUGGCAGAUCCGUAGCAUCACCACCUUGAAUAGGAAGCUAGAUCUACCUUCCCGAUAACGGCGCCUUAUUACCGUUAGGGUAGGGUUCCAGUUCUUAAUCAUGGUAGUGGCACUAGGAUUGCCAUGUUGGUAUUCCUUAACAAGUCACUAGCUCGGCGCAUGUCUAGCAACAGUGUUAAGUAUAUACCGAGGUGAUAGUUCCUUAGGUUUGGAGUUUAAGUACCGCAAGCGGACGGGAAUUAUCAUGUAGCAUUUCAACCCGGGGAUUUACCGAGUGUCGUAUUUAUAGGUUCGCUCUAAGGAAGGCUUAAUAUGUUAAGGAUUCUAAGAUAAGCAUAGAUCAAAGUAAUUAUGAUAGCAAUAAUGGAAUCAAAAGUCAUAGCAGGUGAUAAACAUUUAUAUGUAGAAUAGUGAUCCAUCACAAUCUAGCCAUGGCAUAUGGGCUAAGGAAUAAAAAGAGACUAAAAGAAUGAAUUGAAUCAAAGAAUAAACAAACAACCUAUUGGAGCAGGUGUGGUCCUAGAUACAGAUCAUGUCAUAGAACAAGUUAAUCAUGUAAUUAUACUACUUAGAUCUAGUCCUGUGUUUAGAUGGUUUGGGAGCUUACGCGAGUACUGGUCUGCCAGCAACCUCCGCAACUAUUUAGACUCCUACACCCUAGCCGAACGUGGGGGAAUGCGAAGGACGGACAGGGCUGUCACCACCUGCCGCCAUCCCCUCAACCGUGGACUAGGACAAUGCAUUUACCCGGCCUUUACACCCAAGCACCAUGCUUACAUGCAAAGAACCUACUCGGACUCCCCCGGGUCCCCGACCCUACGGAUCGACAGGUAAGAAGCCCGAGCCUACUCACACAAAGCUAUUUCUAGGCAAUUAAUUAACAUGAAGCAAUUAGACUAAAGUCCUAAGUGAGAAUAAUACAACAUACACUUAGCACUAGUUCAUAUAAUACACUACUAGCCCUAGGGUAGCAUUAUACUAUAAGAACUAUAUACUAAAAUGUAUGUCAUAUCAUUUUCACUAGAACUAUAUUCUAGUUCAUAUGCUAGCAUCAUAAAACAGGGCCUAUGAUCUAUGUCAUAUACCAUAGCAUAAGAACUAUACUCUAGUUCAUAUGAAGAACUAUAUCGGACAUGAUAAGGCAUGGACUUGGAGUAAAGAUAUUCUUUAUUCAUACCCAAGUUUCUCUCCAAGGAGCCAAGCCCUCCUUGAUAGCUCACCCAACUCUCUCUCUAAAAGCUAAAAGGAAAAACUAAGAAGAGGUAGUGCCCAAAUGCCUUGAAGGUGGAGUGUUGAUUGUGAAUGUGAUGAGAUGAAUGGAGCCUCCCUCUCCCCCUCCUUAAAUAGGUGGGGAAGGUCGGUUCCCUAGGGUGUAAACUGCAAUUUGCACGCGAGGACUGCGGGAGGAUAAGCUCAGCACCGCCUCUACGAAAGGCGGUGCCGAGAUGGGCUGGGCCAGGGUCGGCCGACCCUAGUAUCAAACAGCGGAUAGACAACUCCAAACAUCGGGUAUUAACUCCUCUCCACAGGAUCAAACUGACUGGUUGAUCACAAGCCCAAAACUUCUCCUGAGGUGUGGGAGAAAUUGCAAGAGUGCGCACAUAUCGUACUCAACAAGUAUAACCAGGGGUUCAUGAGGCUCAAAUAGCUGACACUGGUUUGACUGCAUUUAGCUUUUAAUAGUGGAUAGCAUGUUUAAUCAUUGGACAGCAAAUAUCAAGGUAGCAUAAAUAAUCCCAUAACCACAUGAUCAAUUGUAUACAGGAAUUAUGAAUAACACAUAUAAACAACAUUACAAACUAUCAUUUAUCAUCAUUAAUCAUGUUCAUCAGUGUCCGUCUAUUCCGUCAGUUUUCUGGGCCGCCCGUAUCCGUGGGCACGGCUAGUAUACCAGAUUUAACACUCUGCAGAGGUUGUACAUCUUUACCCAUGAGUCGUGAUUUACCCUUUCGCCCGAGGUUGCAAGUCUCUUAACCCUCUUCCUAGGGAGUUCGGCAGGCAUCACUAUGAAGCCUUUCAAAGGUUUUGUCUAACAAGUUAGGGCCAUUAGAUUCACUCGGCAGGCAGAUAUAGAGCCCCCCUUCCAUGGCACAUAACCCGCAGCCUAUACACAUGGACAGAGGCCACACUAUACCCAACGUGUCUAGCCAUUCUUACGCCAUUUAAGGUAACCUCUAACAAGCUAGAAAAAGAUCCUCAUACUGAGCUAAAACCAGAGCCAUGUAGCCCUCAUGGUUAUACGAGUUGUCCUAGGAUUUGCCAAGGGAUAAGUCCUUAUG
rnacentral:lncRNA from 1 species